UUAUCGGAAUAAUGCAAAGUUGUU
rnacentral:siRNA from 1 species